rnacentral:rRNA from 1 species
UACGUAGGGUGCAAGCGUUAUCCGGAAUUACUGGGCGUAAAGCGUGCGUAGGCGGUUUGUUAAGUCUGUUGUGAAAUCCCCGGGCUCAACCUGGGAAUGGCAAUGGAUACUGGCAAGCUAGAGUGUGAUAGAGGAUGGUGGAAUUCCCGGUGUAGCGGUGAAAUGCGUAGAGAUCGGGAGGAACAUCAGUGGCGAAGGCGGCCAUCUGGAUCAACACUGACGCUGAGGCACGAAAGCGUGGGGAGCAAACAGG